ensembl:misc_RNA 7SK 7SK RNA
GGAUGUGAGGGCAAUCUGACUGCGCCAUCUGUCAACCCACUGAUCACCAGGGUUGACUUGGCUGAUCUGGCUGGUUAAGCAGGUGUCCCCUUUCUCCCUCACCACUCCAUGUGCAUCCCUUCCAAAGCUGUGUGUUCAGACAAAGAGGAUGACCAUCCCCAAUGGAGGAGGACUGGCCUUCGGUCAAAGGUAUACAAGUGGCUGUGCUCCCCUUGCUAGAACCUCCAUUCAAGCUCUCAAAGUAUAUUCUUCAGUACUCUUGAUUUUAAGUGGCAGCACAGUGGUAGAAUAUAGGCUUAGCAUCGACAAAGCCCUAGGUUCAAUAU